UCUGGAUGUCUAUUGAAUUUGAAUUGUAUUGUAAUUGAAUUUUAUUUAUCUGUUUGUUUUUUGUAAUCAGAAUAAACGAGCCCUUGCCGGAGAUACACUGUAACGACUCGCUUCCUCUGUGAUCCACAGAUCUGGUGCACAGGAUUAAUCUGCCUGUGCACCACUUGAUACUGGCAUCAGAUUCCCCUAGGUCUGGUGCCGGUAACACCUGGAAAUGGCCCAACAGAGUCUCAAACAGACUCCACAAGCUUCGGAUGACCUUGACAAAGGCACAGCUGUGUAUAGAGAAGCAAUCCGAAGAUCUGGAGAGUCUUAGAGAGGAGUUAGGGCAUCUCUCCAGUACGACAGAGACUGUAAAGAGAUAGAGUACCUUAGCCAACAAAACAUGACUUCAAAGUCUGAAAAUGCUCGGCUAAGGGAAAGAUUGGCUUAACAGGAGAAUGAGGAGCACCAGGAGAUAAAGGACCAGGACAGCCAGAGACUAAUUUCAACUAUCCGAAACUUCGGUAAAAGGAUGGCACCAUGGAGGCUAGGAUAGGAGGAUUGGAGUGCUGAUGUCACUGUCACACCGGUUCCUAAUCUACUCGUCAGCAGGACUUCAAAAGACAGCGACUGCCAGCAUACCAACGCUUGAGUGUUAGCCAGUUAUGGUAACCCUGAGCCCCCCAGUGAUCUAGUUUACCUCUCCGUUGAAACUGAACUAACGACGUUUGUCGUUUGGAUUCUUUCAGCUGCUCCUGCGACUACUAGUCUGGCUGUAGUCCCGAGUUUCCUUGUGACGCCGUGGAAACAUCACCCAUUGGUGCCCAAGACCACCACUCACCUUUCCUCCGUGGAACCAGAGACUCCUCUGAGUCAGAAGAUCCUAGCUGGCAGUCCGCCCGCUCUAUCCGUGACGACGUCAGGAUCCUAAUAUCUGUCCGCCCUCCACCGCAGCACGAUCUCCAUCUCCAGCGCCUCACUCCUAUCCGCACCGUUGUUGUUCUCCUCCCCGAGUAAGCAUAGUACUGUAGAGCACUGGAAAUUUUCCACAGUCCCUGAACUCACCUCCCGAUCUGUUGUUGUUGUUUCCAGACGUCCUGGCUUACCUGUUUCUCGCUGUCCACUUCGUUGUUUUUGAGACGAUACCUGAAAAGCUUAUAUUUGUUAAUAAAUCACUUAACCGAU